rnacentral:rRNA from 1 species
UGAACGCGAAGACCUUACCAGGUCUUGACAUCCUCUGACAACCCUAGAGAUAGGGCUUUCCCUUCGGGGACAGAGUGACAGGUGGUGCAUGGUUGUCGUCAGCUCGUGUCGUGAGAUGUUGGGUUAAGUCCCGCAACGAGCGCAACCCUUGAUCUUAGUUGCCAGCAUUUAGUUGGGCACUCUAAGGUGACUGCCGGUGACAAACCGGAGGAAGGUGGGGAUGACGUCAAAUCAUCAUGCCCCUUAUGACCUGGGCUACACACGUGCUACAAUGGACAGAACAAAGGGCUGCGAGACCGCAAGGUUUAGCCAAUCCCACAAAUCUGUUCUCAGUUCGGAUCGCAGUCUGCAACUCGACUGCGUGAAGCUGGAAUCGCUAGUAAUCGCGGAUCAGCAUGCCGCGGUGAAUACGUUCCCGGGUCUUGUACACACGCA